rnacentral:rRNA from 1 species
CUCCUACGGGGCGCAGCAGUGAGGAAUAUUGGUCAAUGGACGAGAGUCUGAACCAGCCAAGUAGCGUGAAGGAUGACUGCCCUAUGGGUUGUAAACUUCUUUUAUAUGGGAAUAAAAUGUUCCACGUGAGGGAUUUUGUAUGUACCAUAUGAAUAGGGAUCGGCUAAUUCCGUGCCAGCAGCGGCGGUAAUACGGAGGAUACGAGCGUUAUCCGGAUUUAUUGGGUUUAAAGGGAGCGUAGGUGGAUUGUUAAGUCAGUUGUGAAAGUUUGGG